rnacentral:rRNA from 1 species
AUUGAACGCUGGCAGCAGGCCUAACACAUGCAAGUCGAGCGGUAGCACAGAGAGCUUGCUCUCGGGUGACGAGCGGCGGACGGGUGAGUAAUGUCUGGGAAACUGCCUGAUGGAGGGGGAUAACUACUGGAAACGGUAGCUAAUACCGCAUAACGUCGCAAGACCAAAGUGGGGGACCUUCGGGCCUCAUGCCAUCAGAUGUGCCCAGAUGGGAUUAGCUAGUAGGUGGGGUAACGGCUCACCUAGGCGACGAUCCCUAGCUGGUCUGAGAGGAUGACCAGCCACACUGGAACUGAGACACGGUCCAGACUCCUACGGGAGGCAGCAGUGGGGAAUAUUGCACAAUGGGCGCAAGCCUGAUGCAGCCAUGCCGCGUGUGUGAAGAAGGCCUUCGGGUUGUAAAGCACUUUCAGCGGGGAGGAAGGCGGUGAGGUUAAUAACCUCAUCGAUUGACGUUACCCGCAGAAGAAGCACCGGCUAACUCCGUGCCAGCAGCCGCGGUAAUACGGAGGGUGCAAGCGUUAAUCGGAAUUACUGGGCGUAAAGCGCACGCAGGCGGUCUGUCAAGUCGGAUGUGAAAUCCCCGGGCUCAACCUGGGAACUGCAUUCGAAACUGGCAGGCUAGAGUCUUGUAGAGGGGGGUAGAAUUCCAGGUGUAGCGGUGAAAUGCGUAGAGAUCUGGAGGAAUACCGGUGGCGAAGGCGGCCCCCUGGACAAAGACUGACGCUCAGGUGCGAAAGCGUGGGGAGCAAACAGGAUUAGAUACCCUGGUAGUCCACGCCGUAAACGAUGUCGAUUUGGAGGUUGUGCCCUUGAGGCGUGGCUUCCGGAGCUAACGCGUUAAAUCGACCGCCUGGGGAGUACGGCCGCAAGGUUAAAACUCAAAUGAAUUGACGGGGGCCCGCACAAGCGGUGGAGCAUGUGGUUUAAUUCGAUGCAACGCGAAGAACCUUACCUGGUCUUGACAUCCACAGAACUUUCCAGAGAUGGAUUGGUGCCUUCGGGAACUGUGAGACAGGUGCUGCAUGGCUGUCGUCAGCUCGUGUUGUGAAAUGUUGGGUUAAGUCCCGCAACGAGCGCAACCCUUAUCCUUUGUUGCCAGCGGUCCGGCCGGGAACUCAAAGGAGACUGCCAGUGAUAAACUGGAGGAAGGUGGGGAUGACGUCAAGUCAUCAUGGCCCUUACGACCAGGGCUACACACGUGCUACAAUGGCAUAUACAAAGAGAAGCGACCUCGCGAGAGCAAGCGGACCUCAUAAAGUAUGUCGUAGUCCGGAUUGGAGUCUGCAACUCGACUCCAUGAAGUCGGAAUCGCUAGUAAUCGUAGAUCAGAAUGCUACGGUGAAUACGUUCCCGGGCCU